rnacentral:sRNA from 1 species
UACAGAAAUAACAAGAUUAGGAUACACCAUGCAGUACAUUAAAUUAAGCAGAAAAUAAACAUUAAUUAGUAUCUUCCAACAUGAAUUCCAGAUAUAGAUAUAUAAUUAGUAAAAUAAUGAUUACACUAAUAAAUCAAGAGAAUAUUGAAUCCAGUCUUUUUAAAAAAUAAUCAAAACCAUAAGUAUAAAAGAAGAAAACCAACCUGCCCGCAUAUCACUUUCACAAG